CACAGAUUCUGUGUUCUCAGAGCCAAAUUUCUAAAGAGGGUCAUCUGCACUCCCUCAGGUAACCCACUGCUAACUGGCCAGCCUGCCAUUCCUGAGAGGAAGAUGAAAGACGCGUGGCAUAGGACCCCACCCCCAGACAAACCCAGUCAGAGUAGAACCCCUGGCGACCAGCAGGUGCACGAGUGAGUCCAUCCAAGAUGACCACCAGGUGUCAACAGGAUGGAAAUAAAACCAGAGACCAUGCUGAGAUUCUUCCGUGGAGAUCCAAAAAGGAGCAUUCUGCUUCCCAGCACUUCUUGCCAAGGAUGAUCUCAGAUUCAUCUGCUCCCAUUCACAGUGAGCAAAGGCCUUGAUUUUAAUAAGGGCACAGCUCCUUUUCCCCUUCUCCUGUUGCUGAAAUUGGGCUGGAUGAGGAUGGUUGAGGGUCAG
ensembl:lncRNA